GACGUAGGUAUUGUGUAUAUUGGCUUUGUACUUCCUAAUGUAUUGAUGCCAAAAAUGUUUUCUGCAACAUCGAUUCAUGGGGAGAAUGGGCAAUCGAGCCUCUGUUAUUGUUGUUAUCAGCACCUUUACACUCAAUUUCCUUACAUUC
rnacentral:snoRNA from 1 species